GUGGUAGUAGCUCAGAGGUAGAGCUCCCGCUCCGUGUGCGGGGAGACUUGGGUUCGAUUCAUGGCUGCUUCC
rnacentral:tRNA from 1 species